rnacentral:rRNA from 1 species
UACGAAGGGGGCUAGCGUUGCUCGGAAUCACUGGGCGUAAAGCGCACGUAGGCGGAUCUUUAAGUCAGAGGUGAAAUCCCAAGGCUCAACCUUGGAACUGCCUUUGAUACUGGGGAUCUCGAGUCCGGAAGAGGUGAGUGGAACUGUGAGUGUAGAGGUGAAAUUCGUAGAUAUUCGCAAGAACACCAGUGGCGAAGGCGGCUUACUGGUCCGGAACUGACGCUGAGGUGCGAAAGCGUGGGGAGCAAACAGGG